UACGUAGGUGGCAAGCGUUGUCCGGAUUUACUGGGCGUAAAGAGCGCGCAGGCGGUCGUUCAAGUCGCGUGUGAAAGCCCCCGGCUCAACUGGGGAGGGUCACGCGAUACUGAUCGACUCGAAGGCAGGAGAGGGUAGUGGAAUUCCCGGUGUAGUGGUGAAAUGCGUAGAUAUCGGGAGGAGCACCAGGGGCGAAGGCGACUACCUGGCCUGUUUCUUGACGCUGAGGCGCGAAAGCUAGGGGAGCAAACGGG
rnacentral:rRNA from 1 species